GAAGCACUGUUCUCUGAACCCUGAAAAAUUUGAAGUUGAAUCAUUGUAAUAUUAGUGCUUAUUCAAGUAAAUAUAAGGCUACUAAAAAGUUCAGGCACAUUAAGUAUUCAAAUAGCACCUAUAGAUGUUAGUAUGUGAAAAAAAAAAAAUCAUUUGUCUCCCUAUAACUAUAUAAUUCUUAUAAAUACCUAGAAGAGCCCCAGUUAUAUAAUCUGGUGGUCAAAUGAUGGGAGUGCCAAGUAUAAAAGCAAAAAAUUAAAUAAAUAAAAAAAAAUAAACCAGUACCACAUUUUGUUCCUGAAAGUUUUUAAGUAACAAUCAAAUGCUGAAGCAAAAAAUAAUAACUUCCAAAAUAUUCAUAGGUAAUGCAUAACCUCAACCAUGGACAUGGAAGAUAUCAGAAGAUUAAUUGCCUAAAAGUAAAAGCAUGGAAGCUACAAAUUAUGUGAGGACAAAAAAAAAUAAUUAAUAAAGUUGUACAAGUUCCUUUUGGCUUAGAGCCAUUGAGAGAGUGAUGAUAGUUUUGGCCAAUUCAAAUUAUAAUGGAUAGAAACAUAGAAAGAUAUCAACAUACCUGCAUGAUCAAAUCAACUAAUUUGCACUCUCCCUGCAUGUCUGCUUGGGGAGAUAGCUCUUUUUUACUCAAUCUGUUCGUAAGUACUGUUAAUGGGCACCCUAGGUCCCAG
rnacentral:misc_RNA from 1 species